CCAAAGGCUCUUUUCAGAGCCACCCACUGAAUCAGAUAAAGAGCUGUAACAC
rnacentral:ncRNA from 1 species